CAGCCGCCGCGGUAAUACCGAGGGUGCGAGCGUUAAUCGGAUUUACUGGGCGUAAAGCGUGCGUAGGCGGCUAAUUGAGUCGGAUGUGAAAUCCCCGAGCUUAACUUGGGAAUUGCAUUCGAUACUGGUUAGCUAGAGUGUGGGAGAGGAUGGUAGAAUUCCAGGUGUAGCGGUGAAAUGCGUAGAGAUCUGGAGGAAUACCGAUGGCGAAGGCAGCCAUCUGGCCUAACACUGACGCUGAGGUACGAAAGCAUGGGGAGCAAACAGGAUUAGAUACCCGGGUAGUCCCUGUCUCUUAUAC
rnacentral:rRNA from 1 species